rnacentral:rRNA from 1 species
UACGUAGGGUGCAAGCGUUAAUCGGAAUUACUGGGCGUAAAGCGUGCGCAGGCGGUGAUGUAAGACAGUUGUGAAAUCCCCGGGCUCAACCUGGGAACUGCAUCUGUGACUGCAUCGCUGGAGGUGCGGCAGAGGGGGAUGGAAUUCCGGCGUGUAAGCAGUGAAAUGCGUAGAGAUCCGGAGGAACACCAGUGGCGAAGGCGACACGCUGGGCCGUACCUGACACUGAGGCGCGAUAGCAUGGGGGAGCAAACAGG